AGAUCCAGAGCUUAAGAGGUUUGGAAUUAGCUUGCAAGCUUCAUCAUUAUGAGCGCACUAGCGAUAAACCUUCAUACGUAGCGAACAGAUGGAAAGAGGUUAACGCACCUUCAUGUCGCUCAAGAGAUGGUUUACUUCAAUGAGAGGGCGGGCAAGAGGCCAUUAUGAACGUCGUCAGAAGGGAAGAACUGCUAAAGAGGAGGCAUCCAAAAACGGCGUCAAACGCAAACACAAACAAUGAAUUACCUUUACCACUCAAAGAGACGCUACAAUCCAGAGGCUUCGUUCGUAAUGUCUCUACUGGGAAUUUCCGUCACAGCUUUUGCAGUUUGAAGUAAAGAGAAAGUGAACAGAGAGAGGAAAAGAAACGAAUGAAAAAGUAAAAGAAAGCGAAACAAAGGAAAGAAUCACAUUUGCUCGUUUCAGUAACUUGUAAGAGUUCGGCAAUACUGGUGUAAAUGCAACCUGAAGGGGAUAAAGAAAAUUGAGGAAAUAAGGACGCAAUAGUCUUGCUUUGAAGUUAUAUAGUCGGCGAGAGUGAGCUUUAAAAGUUGAAAACUUCAAUUGAAGAAAAAUCCCUGGCCACACGAACUGCCCUUACUGCAGCAAAAAGCAAGAGAGGAAAACCCCGGACCGCUUAUUCGUUGUGUGCGCGAUGUGUUGUCGCAAUCGAUUGCCUGGUUAAUUGACAAAGCUGUUCAAACUGCUGAGGUAAAAUGAUUUGGUAUUAGAUGACAAGUUUCGAAAAUCUCAUUGAUGAUUUUCAGUUGUUUUUAGUUUCGACAUUAAUUUUGUCAUUCAAAUACGUAGUCGCUUCGUGAUAGAAGGAUCUGAAUAACAAAAUAUAAAUUUGUUGAUUAUAAAGCGAGAUCGAGAGGGAAGAAUAUAAGAACUUAGAGAGGGGAAUGAUAAUAAAAGUAGGAAAGGAAACGAAAAGGACAGGAGAUAAAAAGAAACGAAGGACUAAUUUAUUUCAUUAUUUUUCUCCAAAUAAAAUCAUGCUUAUUUAUUUCUGUGUCAGGAGCCAGCGAUACAUUUACGUUGUCUUUUGCGGGAUGGUAAUUUAAACAAUGGCUACUUGUUUCGAAAGAUAAUAAGUGCACAUUGCUAAGAAGGGUACCACAGUAAGUUUCUGAAGUAUAAUGUUAAAUAACGAGGAACUUCUUCGGGGCUCCAUAAUAAUGGAAGUAGUUCGUUUUGUCUGAAACUUUUGUCAGUAUAUGAAAAAAACUAUUUUAUAUUUUCUUAUAAAGACUUUUUGUUUAAUCGAAGUUCUGUUUCUGAGAGGUUUCACUGCAGCCAAUUGUUUAUAAAGAAAUAGCCCUUCCUCCAGAUGCUCCUCUGAUGUGGCAGACUGCUUGCUUUCUGUCGGCCUGUUAUGGGAGGAUUAAAACAUAUUUUCUUUCCCUCCACUUUACAUCACUCCCAACUUUAAUACCAGCCACCGCCCUCUGUGCAUGUCUCGUCCCAUUUGCUAAAAAUGAAAGCUCUUCUUAAAAGAGUUCUGUGGUAGAACGAUUCCCGAGGGGAAAAUUUUUAGAAACAGAAAGUUGCCGUCUUCACUUUCCGGACCCCCUUUCAUGAAAUAAUAGUUUGUUUUAGUAAAGCUCAGUUUGUGCUGUAUUUUAAAUCUUUUUCUCAGCAAAUCGGAAUCGAUGCCAUUACUUAAUAUCCUUAUAAGGUGAUACAGGUUAAUUAAAAUGGAUGGAGUUGUAAUGGACAGUGUAAACAAUGUAAAUUUUAAGAUGUAGAAUGCGUAACACUCACUGGGUGGUAUCAAAAUGGAACGUUACUUGGUGACGUCAAGUUUAAAGGAAAAAAUAGAGAAAUCAAUCCAUUUGUUAUGAAUAUGUGGAGCAGUAGCCAUAACGAGCAUUUUAGCCCUUUGUUCUAUGUGGACGUGAAACUAGAUAUCUGGUUUCUAUGGAAGAUGAUUUAUUAUAAGUGUAUGAAAAAAAUUGCUCACGUGAAUAUCUUAACAUUUAAGUUGUUACGUUCCAUUAACCUACAACCAUAAUUUGCAGGACGUUACCCAUCACACCUCUUACGUUGUUUUGACUGCAGAUUCAGCAGCCCAUUGCCUGAAAGGUCGAGCGAACACCGUUAAGGGCCCAUCUACGUCUGACUGCGUAUCUCGUUUCCCUGGGAACUAGGCAACCCGCAUGACCCUUAUUAUAAGAACUUUGAUGUGAGUGUAGUUUAGUAUACGCGACGCAAAUCUGUCACGGCCAAUGCAGUACGAUCUAAAACGAGGGGAGGAUCUAACAAUUCCCCGUUGUGAUUAUCAUCAUGACGGUGUUUUCCAGUUUCGGUACAGUGUGGAGACAACCGUUAAGAAGACACGUCAGAAGUUUAACGAAAAUGUUUUAAGAACUGUAUGUGUGCGAUCAAUUAACUGAGGCGAUGCAACACAGUAAAUUGUCCCUACCUCCAGUCCCCUCCCACCCUCCCUAUGCUGUUGUGGCUGAGGUUCGUGCUAAUUAGUUAGACGAAACCCCUACAACCCCCACCAACUGUUCGUUGCUGUUCCCGUGCUUGCCUGAUCCUCCGGCAUUCUGUGUUGUGAAACGUUAAUCAGUCUGGAAUUGAAAUGGGUUCACGCGGCUAGUCGAGCUGUGAGGGAGGGAUAAUGGGGUAAAGUAGGGGCAAGUUUCCAUUAUUCAUUUGCACCCAGUACCUUCUGCUUUGCGGGUUGCAGCUACGUCCACAAUUCGGAAGGGACUCGUGACUGCCCAUGCGUGGAAUUUCUGAUGUUGCAGUGCAAGAAGGAACAUAAAACUGUUAUGCACCGAUGUGUAAGCCUCCGAUUCAGUAAACAUCGUGGUUCUGACGUCGUGUGAAAUUGUAGGUAAACACCAACGUUUUGGAGAAACAUACCGUCUCCGUUUUCAGGGCUGAAGAUGGAUACGUUUUAACUUCCAGGUUUUAAGAUGGAGGCAGGAAGGAAGUUAGGCCGGGAUGGAGAGAACAGCAUAAUGAGGAAUUUUAUUAGUCGAUUUUUGUCUUCUGGGUUGUAAUGCUGCGUGGUACCAGUAGUCCUCCGAAACCAUCUUAUGUAGCUAAAAGCAAUGCUUUUACGCACAAUUUGAGCUUGGCUGUGUGGCCGUAUUUUUAUUGAAGUGAUUUCCAAUCGCUUAAUGCCUCGGCACUGGAGUGGGAUGAUGACGUCCUGCUAACUAGCAAUUCGUUUUGUAAUUCUGGCUUUGAAUUUCAUCUCACAAAACAGCAAUCAUGGACGAUGAGUGUUAACCGGAAGAGUUGUCUCUAGUUACCCUGAUAAUUGAAAACGAAAUACGUUCUAAUGUUCAACAAGAAAUGGACAGAAAAAAAGCCUGCAUGUUGUAAGACCAAUUUUAUACCGUGACAGCACAAAAGGUUUUGCUUUCGCUAUCUCGGCCCCGGAGGCCAACACCCUGUAUCCUAUGAAAAUUGUGUUCCAUAUGCGUUUUUGUGGUUGGCAUGACAACCUCGAAGCCGUCUGCGACAUCCUAUACGUCUCUAACCAAUUCUCAAAUUAUACUCGGUAUGCGGCCCCAAGUAUCCCACUGUUUAAUAAGUGUUGAAUUUGAGUCAUGAAGGGAAAUGCUGCAGAUUCUUAAGGUGGCCGGAUGUGGUCAAUUUAAACAUCAAACAUUCUGACCAUUGUUUGUCAAUUGAGUUUUGAAAUAUCAUUUUCUGGUCAUAUUUCUUGCAGCGUUCUCACUUAAAGUUUUGACUCCUGCCAUCGAGUCUGCCGAUAAUUCGGCUGGCUGGCAUUAUCUUCAUUCACCGCCUCAUGCAAAUAACGCCCAGUGAAACUACACUAAAUCGCAAGUAACUUAGAUACGGGUCUGCUGUACUUCGGUCGGUAUCUGCCCCCAGCAGGACUACCAUUCUCGCCCCAUAACCCUGUCCUCCAUCUCUCCUGCCCCAGCUGUAAUCUCAAUCCACCCGCUUCUGUAAAGAACAGCUCUCAAUUUUGGGCUGCGUGGUUUAUAUUAAUUAAAAUAUCAGCGCGGCAGAAGGAUCGGAUUAAGCGAACGAGAGCCACUCAGCGGCUCUUAUAGCGUCCCGAAUGCGCAGUUGUCAUAAAAAUAUUUAGCCUGAGAUAUGGAUACAUCCAGUACUAUUAUUAUUCAACAUCUGUGACACUAAACCAAAUAUCAUACGAAUUGUGUUCUCUUCUAUCCGCUUUGAGUGAAUGUUAGGAUUGGUUUUGGGGUAGGGGGCUGGAAGGGAAAGGGGUGGCAGCUGGACAAAUGGAAAUGAUACUAGAAACCGCAAUACCACGUUAUUCCAUUAGCCAUGACUAUCAUCACCAAAUUUACUGAUGAAACUUUGUCAGGUGUAUCAAAAUUCUGUGACCUGUUCUGAAUGAAAAAUAGAUUCAUGGAACAUUAUAUUGCGAAGCUGAUAGUUUCUAAGUUUGGUCACGAAGGUAAUUAAUAGCAUAGUAGUUUUUGUGAUUUAUACGCUAUUUUGGUCAGCCAUAUUAUGAAUAUUAAAAAUAAAAUUUUGGUGCAUACGCUGGAUUUUUUAUGCCUUACUUUUUCUAACUUGACCGUAAUUUUACAUUUACUCUCUGUGUUCUAAUCCAUUUUGCAAGGCAGCUGCAGACAAACCGUAAAGUACAUCUGUACUUUUAUUAUAGUGGAAGCAGGUAAACUGAAAUAUUAGCUUAAGUUUGGGGGGGGGGUGCUUUAAUGAGAUUGUGGCGGAGAGUCAUGGAACGUUUUCCUCCCAGAGGGUCCUCACUGAUUUCGCAAUUGCGUGCACAAGAGACUGUCACGCGGAUUAUUUUUUAUAUUGCUGUGCACAAAGCGGACCAGCUGACGUGGUCCUGGUAGCGGGAUCUUAAGCUGUGCUCAGAACGAAUAACAUUAUUACAGCGCUCUUGGCCGAAAUGGCAGUUUACCGUUAGUCUGUUUAAUGCGUUAAAAUUUACUUUAAA